GUUGUAGAUUAUUUUCUUCGAAGACUUGACCUUCCUAUUGAGAGGCAGCCAAGAAAAAUGCUGAUGAAAUGGAAGGAGAUGGCUGACAGAUAUGAUCGCUUGCUGGAGACCUGCUCUAUUGCCCUUGUGGGCAAAUACACGAAGUUCUCAGACUCCUAUGCCUCUGUCAUUAAGGCUCUGGAGCAUUCUGCACUGGCCAUCAACCACAAAUUGGAAAUCAAGUACAUAGAUUCUGCGGACUUGGAGCCCAUCACCUCGCAAGAAGAGCCUGUGCGCUACCACGAAGCUUGGCAGAAGCUCUGUAGUGCUCAUGGAGUGCUGGUUCCAGGAGGAUUUGGUGUUCGAGGAACAGAAGGAAAAAUCCAAGCAAUUGCCUGGGCUCGGAAUCAGAAAAAGCCUUUUUUGGGCGUGUGCUUAGGGAUGCAGUUGGCAGUGGUUGAAUUCUCAAGAAACGUGCUGGGAUGGCGAGGGUGGGCAGCUGGCUUCCAAAAUGACAGGCCUAUUAUGCAGGCACUUAUCAGGCCUGCUGAUGUCCCGUUGGCCAAAACAAGUCACGUGGCCAAGCCCCGAGCCGGCAGGGGAGGAGAACACACAUGGAUGUGAAGACUGAGCAUGCUGCACUGGGGCCACCCAUGGAAUGGUCCGCCGCAGCCCAUUUAUUUGUAGCCCACCCGACAAAUACUAGAUUUUCAGAAAGACCUUGUAAAUUCUGUGGAAAAUAAAGUAACCUGAAGGAA
rnacentral:sRNA from 1 species